GUGGAGAAUCUUGCACAAUGGGGGAAACCCUGAUGCAGCAACGCCGCGUGAAGGAAGAAGGCCCUUGGGUCGUAAACUUCUUUUCUAAGGGAAGAUAAUGACGGUACCUUAGGAACAAGUCCCGGCUAACUACGUGCCAGCAGCCGCGGUAAUACGUAGGGGGCGAGCGUUAUCCGGAAUUAUUGGGCGUAAAGAGUACGUAGGUGGUUUCCUAAGCAUGGGGUUUAAGGCAAUGGCUCAACUGUUGUUCGCCCUAUGAACUGGGUUACUUGAGUGCCGGAGGGGAAAGCGGAAUUCCUAGUGUAGCGGUGAAAUGCGUAGAUAUUAGGAGGAACACCAGUGGCGAAGGCGGCUUUCUGGACAGUAACUGACACUGAGGUACGAAAGUGUGGGGAGCAAACAGGAUUAGAUACCCUUGUAGUCC
rnacentral:rRNA from 1 species